UCUUUAAUAGUCUAACUGGUUAAGACGUUUUUUUUUCAAGAAAGAGAUAGGAAUUCAAAUUUCCUUUAAAGAU
rfam:Theileria parva strain Muguga apicoplast, complete genome, whole genome shotgun sequence.